rnacentral:rRNA from 1 species
AUACAGAGGGUGCAAGCGUUAAUCGGAUUUACUGGGCGUAAAGCGCGCGUAGGUGGCUAAUUAAGUCAAAUGUGAAAUCCCCGAGCUUAACUUGGGAAUUGCAUUCGAUACUGGUUAGCUAGAGUAUGGGAGAGGAUGGUAGAAUUCCAGGUGUAGCGGUGAAAUGCGUAGAGAUCUGGAGGAAUACCGAUGGCGAAGGCAGCCAUCUGGCCUAAUACUGACACUGAGGUGCGGAAGCAUGGGGAGCAAACAGGAUUAGAUACCCUGGUAGUCCAUGCCGUAAACGAUGUCUACUAGCCGUUGGGGCCCUUGAGGCUUUAGUGGCGCAGCUAACGCGAUAAGUAGACCGCCUGGGGAGUACGGUCGCAAGACUAAAACUCAAAUGAAUUGACGGGG